CCUACGAGAGGCUGCAGUGGGGAAUAUUGGACAAUGGGCGAAAGCCUGAUCCAGCCAUGCCGCGUGUGUGAAGAAGGCCUUCGGGUUGUAAAGCACUUUCAGUGGGGAAGAAAGCCUUGGGGCUAAUACCCUCGAGGAAGGACAUCACCCACAGAAGAAGCACCGGCUAACUCCGUGCCAGCAGCCGCGGUAAUACGGAGGGUGCGAGCGUUAAUCGGAAUUACUGGGCGUAAAGCGCGCGUAGGCGGUCUGAUAAGCCGGUUGUGAAAGCCCCGGGCUCAACCUGGGAACGGCAUCCGGAACUGUCAGGCUAGAGUGCAGGAGAGGAAGGUAGAAUUCCCGGUGUAGCGGUGAAAUGCGUAGAGAUCGGGAGGAAUACCAGUGGCGAAGGCGGCCUUCUGGACUGACACUGACGCUGAGGUGCGAAAGCGUGGGUAGCAAACAGGAUUAGAUACCCUAGUAGUC
rnacentral:rRNA from 1 species